UAGGGAAUCUUCCGCAAUGGACGCAAGUCUGACGGAGCAACGCCGCGUGAGUGAAGAAGGAUUUCGGUUCGUAAAACUCUGUUGUUAGAGAAGAACAGCGCAUAGAGUAACUGUUAUGCGUGUGACGGUAUCUAACCAGAAAGCCACGGCUAACUACGUGCCAGCAGCCGCGGUAAUACGUAGGUGGCAAGCGUUAUCCGGAAUUAUUGGGCGUAAAGCGCGCGUAGGCGGUUUUUUAAGUCUGAUGUGAAAGCCCACGGCUCAACCGUGGAGGGUCAUUGGAAACUGUUUAACUUGAGUGCAGAAGGGGAGAGUGGAAUUCCAUGUGUAGCGAUGAAAUGCGUAGAUAUAUGGAGGAACACCGGUGGCGAAAGCGGCUCUCUGGUCUGUAACUGACGCUGAGGCUCGAAAGCGUGGGGAGCGAACAGG
rnacentral:rRNA from 1 species